GGAGGGUGCAAACGUUUGUUCGGAACCACUGGGCGUAAAGGGCGCGCAGGCGGACCUGUAAGUCAGGAGUGAAAACUCGGGGCUCAACUCCGAGCCUGCUUCUGAAACUGCAAGUCUUGAGGGCCGGAGAGGAGAGUGGAAUUCCUAGUGUAGCGGUGGAAUGCGUAGAUAUUAGGAAGAACACCAGUGGCGAAGGCGACUCUCUGGACGGUUCCUGACGCUGAGGCGCGAAAGCUAGGGGAGCAAACAGGAUUAGAUACCCUGGUAGUCCUAGCCGUAAACGAUGAGUGCUAGGUGGUGGUGGUUUCAACGCCUUCACUGCCGGAGCUAACGCAUUAAGCACUCCGCCUGGGGAGUACGGCCGCAAGGUUG
rnacentral:rRNA from 1 species